GUGGGGAAUAUUGCACAAUGGGCGCAAGCCUGAUGCAGCAACGCCGCGUGAGGGAUGACGGCCUUCGGGUUGUAAACCUCUUUUAGUAGGGAAGAAGCGAAAGUGACGGUACCUGCAGAAAAAGCACCGGCUAACUACGUGCCAGCAGCCGCGGUAAUACGUAGGGUGCAAGCGUUGUCCGGAAUUAUUGGGCGUAAAGAGCUCGUAGGCGGCUUGUCGCGUCUGCUGUGAAAUCCCGGGGCUCAACCCCGGGCCUGCAGUGGGUACGGGCAGGCUAGAGUGCGGUAGGGGAGAUUGGAAUUCCUGGUGUAGCGGUGGAAUGCGCAGAUAUCAGGAGGAACACCGAUGGCGAAGGCAGAUCUCUGGGCCGCUACUGACGCUGAGGAGCGAAAGCAUGGGGAGCGAACAGGAUUAGAUACCCUGGUAGUCC
rnacentral:rRNA from 1 species